AGUGAACGCUGGCGGUAGACCUAACACAUGCAAGUCGAACGGCAGCACAGUAAGAGCUUGCUCUUACGGGUGGCGAGUGGCGGACGGGUGAGGAAUACAUCGGAAUCUACUUUUUCGUGGGGGAUAACGUAGGGAAGCUUACGCUAAUACCGCAUACGACCUACGGGUGAAAGCAGGGGAUCUUCGGACCUUGCGCGUUUGAAUGAGCCGAUGUCGGAUUAGCUAGUUGGCGGGGUAAAGGCCCACCAAGGCGACGAUCCGUAGCUGGUCUGAGAGGAUGAUCAGCCACACUGGAACUGAGACACGGUCCAGACUCCUACGGGAGGCAGCAGUGGGGAAUAUUGGACAAUGGGCGCAAGCCUGAUCCAGCCAUACCGCGUGGGUGAAGAAGGCCUUCGGGUUGUAAAGCCCUUUUGUUGGGAAAGAAAAGCAGCAGGUUAAUACCCCGCUGUUCUGACGGUACCCAAAGAAUAAGCACCGGCUAACUUCGUG
rnacentral:rRNA from 1 species